rnacentral:lncRNA from 1 species
UUUUUUUUUUUUUUUUUUUUUGUGGUUUUUCGAGACAGGGUUUCUCUAUAGCCCUGGCUGUCCUGGAACUCACUUUGUAGACCAGGCUGGCCUUGAACUCAGAAAUCCACCUGCCUCUGCCUCCCGAGUGCUGGGAUUAAAGGCGUGUGCCACCACGCCCGGCUCAGCCUGCUCUCUUAUAGAACCCAAGACAACCAGCCCAGAGAUGGUCCCACCCACAAGGGGCCUUGCCCCCUUGAUCACUAAUUGAGAAAAUGCCUUACAGUUGGAUCUCAUGGAGGCAUUUCCUCAACUGAAGCUCCUUUCUCUGUGAUAACUCCAGCUGUGUCAAGUUGACACAAAACUAGCCAAUACAGCUGGGAAGAGGAGGCAAGACGCGAAGUACUCAAAGGGUCCAGGCCUGCAGAGGGCAUAGAGGCAAGAGAGAUAGACAGGGCUUUCAGGUGGGGUUUAUAACAAGUGCUUGAACAACUUCAGUGAAGGACAUCUCUGUCCUGAGAGGGCUAUCCAUGCCAGCAUCUAGGAAAAGCAGAGGAUAGAAGAACUGAGUACUGGACAGGCACAGGUAAUCUCAUAAUUUGUGAAGCAUUUCGAAGAGUUGACAGCCAAGUGCCAGAAGCUCUGAGCCAGUGAGGUGAGGGUAUGUGGGUUAGCUUGGGAGCUGUAGCUGAAGUGGACCUGGUGCCUUUCAGCUGUGCACACUAUUAACCAUUUGAAUCUGCAUAAGACCUAGUUAUUAGGGUAAAUGGAUCAGGGUUCAAGGUGCUUGAAGCCCGUGUGAGGUACUGAACAGGUGCAGUGACACUUACCAGGGUUGCUGAGGGCCUCUUCUUUAGGUUCAGAAAAUCUCUGCCUAAGAGUGAAGCACGACCAAGGGAACUAGGUCACUGCCCAGGCUGCCUGCCUGCCCUGCCCUGCCCCAUGCCAACACUUUGUUCAAAGAGGGUGAGUCAGCAGUCUUGCCUAGGCUAUGAGUCUUUGUGUCCCUGAAGCAUCCUCUGGCUGAGCAGGGCCAGGAACAGUAGAACCCUGCAGAAGGGAAGACAUUGAAUGGUGGUCCAUUCUGGAUUCUUCAGUGUCUCCCGCAUCCACUGGUUCCCACCCUGUAUCCCUCACUGCCGUCUUGCUGGUGGUGCUCACAUAUCGUGCUGCAUAUGAAGCCUCUUCAGGCAGUUCUGCGCCAUAUCCUGAGAGGCUGACCAUCUUCUGCUUUGGCAGUUGAUGUUUAAGAUAUGUGCUGACCUUGCUUAGUCUGGAACUGACUAGUUUCUUCAGAGAGCCUGGUUUUUCUUCUCUGGGGACAGGUAGUAUGCCUUUUACAAAGGUUCAUGUAGCACUGAUAAAAGUGGCCUUGAAUGCUUUUUGUUGUUUUUUCCAGUUAGGGUUUCUCUAUGUAACAGCCUGGAAGUCCUGGAACUAGCUUUAUAGACCAGGCUGGCCUUGAACUCACAGAGAUGUUGCCUCUGCCUCCUAAAUGCUGGGGAUUAAAAGCCUGUGCUACCAUGUUUGGCCUUGAGCUCUUGGUUCCCAGUUGGUAUGACUUCCACAUCCCAAAUGCUGGGGUUAUGGGCUUGUGCAACUACAGCUAGCUUAUGCUACUUUCCUAGAUGAAUUUUAUUAAGUAGAGAAUACUUAGAAAAAAAUACUACAUGUUCGUAACAGCAAAUACAGUACAAAGCAUAGAAAUGGCAAGGUAAAAUCUAAUGUCCAUUUGAAGACCUUAUUCCAUGAACCUUCUGGAAGGACUUUGAUGCCUAAGUUUAUUGCAGGUAGUUAAACACAUAGUUCACCAUAAGCAAGUGUGUAAUGCUGAGAGUGUUGCCUGUGUGAACAUAAGGGCUAUAACCCCAGGCAGAAGCCUGUAGCAUUUUUUUAAAAAAAAUAUUUGUUUAUGUUAUGUAUAUGUAUAUUUUGCUUUUAUAUAUGUUUACACACCAGAAGAGAGCAUGGGACCCUGUGGGGAUUACAGUUGUGCAUGGUUGUGAGCUACCAUGUGGUUGCUGGGAAUUAAACUCAUGACCUCUGGAAGAGCAGUCAGUGCCCUUAACCCUGAGCCAUCUCUCCAGCGCCUGUAGCUUGUAGUAUUUCUGGACCUUGAGUUGAGGCUUUGUGGGAAGGUGUCUUUCUUUACAAUUCUCAUUGUUAAUAAACAUUUACUUACUGCUUAUAUGGGAGACAGCACCUUCCACAUGUGUGUGGGGCUGGAUUGGCAUUUAGAACUCAUAGAAUCAUGAAACUGGAGAGAUGGCUCAGUGGUUAGGAGUGCUCAUCCCUAGAAAAGCCAAGUUCAGUUCUCAGUGUACAAAUCAGGUAGCUCACAACUGUGUGUGCUCCAACUCUGGGGCAGCCAGUACUUAGCCUUUGUGUACCAGCAUCAACACACACAUAAACAAUAAAACCCAACUCUCAGCGUUGGAAACUUUGUUGUUUUAGAGACAGGAUCUUGAUAUGUAGCCUGGGCUGGCCUUAGAUUCAGUAUGUAGCCUAGGUUGGCCUCGAAAUCACAGUACUCCUUCCUCAGUGUCCCUGGUACUGGGGUUACAGUUGUGUGAUACUAGGCCUAACAUACAACCUGAUUGUUCUUUUCAUAUUUAUAUGUUAUAUGGAUAAUAUAAUGAUAUAUGGACACAUUCACCAGGUAUGGUACAUAUGCCUUUCUUUCUUUCUUUUUUUUUUUUUUUCCAAGACAUAGUCUCAUUAUGUAGCUCUGGAGCCCUGGCUGUCCUAGAGCUGGCUGUAAACUCAUUAGAUCUGCCUACCUCUGCCUCCAGAGGCAGAAUUAAAGGCUUGCGCCAUUGUUACAUGUCUUUUUUUUUUUUUUUUUUUUUUUUUAGAUUUAUUUAUUGGUUAUAUGUAAGUACACUGUAACUGUCUUCAGACACUUCAGAAGAGAGUCAGAUCUCGUUACGGAUGGUUGUGAGCCACCAUGUGGUUGCUGGGAUUUGAACUCGGAACCUUUGGAAGAGCAGUCGGGUGCUCUUACCCACUGAGCCAUCUCACCAGCCCGUUACAUGUCUUUUAAAAAAAAAUGUUUUUAACUGGUGGUGGCAGCUCACGCCUUUAGUCCCAGCACUGAGGAGGCAGAGGCAGGCAGAUCUCUGAGUUCGAGGCCAGUGUGUUAGUGAUCAGGACAGCCAGCCAGGUUUACAUAGAAAAACUCUGUCUUGAAAAAAAUAAAAAAUAAAAAAAUUAAAAAAUAAAUUCUUGUCUUUAUUGUUAUCUCAUGUGUAUGUGUGUUUUAUCUGCAUGUAUGUCUAUUCAUCACAUCCAUGUAGUAUCUGUGAAGGCCAGAAAAGGGUGUUGGAUCCCCUACAACUGAAAUUACAGACGGUUGUGAACAACCCUGUGUAGGUGCUGGGAAUUGAACCUGGCUCAUUUGGAAAAGCAACCUUCAGUGCUCUUAACCUCUGAAACUGUUUGCUUUGCCUGUUGUUGUUGUUGUUGUUGUUGUUGUAGUUUUGCUUUGUUUUUGAGACAAGGUCUCAUUCUGUUGCCCUAACUAGCCUGAAACUCCUCCGCUUGCCUCUGUCUCUCGAGUGCUAAGAUUAAAGGUGUGCAUCACCAUGAUCAACUAGCACAUGCCUGUAGUUUCAGCACUUCUAGGACAGAGGCAUUUUGGGGCUAGCCUGGUCCCUAAAUAGUAAGUCCCAGGCUAGCCAGGUUACCCUGCUCAAAAUAAAAUAAAAUAAAAU